rnacentral:rRNA from 1 species
CCUACGGGUGGCAGCAGUGGGGAAUAUUGCGCAAUGGGCGAAAGCCUGACGCAGCGACGCCGCGUGAGGGAUGAAGGUCUUCGGAUCGGAAACCUCUGUCAGCAGGGAAGAACGGUCACGGUGCUAAGCAGCAGUGAAUUGACGGUACCUGCAAAGGAAGCACCGGCUAACGCCGUGCCAGCAGCCGCGGUAAUACGGAGGGUGCGAGCGUUAAUCGGAAUUACUGGGCGGAAAGCGCUCGUAGGCGGUAUGUCAAGUCAAGGGUGAAAUCCCCGCGCUCAACGUGGGAACGGCCUUUGAAACUGGCAACCUGGCGUGUGUGAGAGGCUAGUGGACUUCCCGUUGUAGGCG